rnacentral:tRNA from 1 species
GGUAAGAUGGCUGAGAUAUAGGCGAUAAACUGUAAAUUUAUUAACGAGUUAACCUCUUUUGCCA